rnacentral:rRNA from 1 species
UGGGGAAUCUUGGACAAUGGGGGCAACCCUGAUCCAGCCAUGCCGCGUGAGUGAUGAAGGCCUUAGGGUCGUAAAGCUCUUUCGCCUGUGAAGAUAAUGACGGUAGCAGGUAAAGAAACCCCGGCUAACUCCGUGCCAGCAGCCGCGGUAAUACGGAGGGGGUUAGCGUUGUUCGGAAUUACUGGGCGUAAAGCGCACGUAGGCGGACCAGAAAGUUGGGGGUGAAAUCCCGGGGGCUCAACCCCGGAACUGCCUCCAAAACUAUUGGUCUAGAGUUCGAGAGAGGUGAGUGGAAUUCCAAGUGUAGAGGUGAAAUUCGUAGAUAUUUGGAGGAACACCAGUGGCGAAAGGCGGCUCACUGGCUCGAUACUGACGCUGAGGUGCGAAAAGUGUGGGGAGCAAAACAGGAUUAGAUACCCCUGGUAGUCCACACCGUAAAACGAUGAAUGCCAGUCGUCGGGGUAGCAUGCUAUUCGGUGACACACCUAACGGAUUAAGCAUUCCGCCU